rnacentral:rRNA from 1 species
AUUGAACGCUGGCGGCAGGCCUAACACAUGCAAGUCGAGCGAGCGGCGGAUGGGUGAGCAAUGGAUGGGGAUCUGCCCGAUAGAGGGGGAUAACUACUGGAAACGGUGGCUAAUACCGCAUACUAUCCGCUGAACACAGAGGGGAUUAGCUAGUAGGUGGGGUAAAGGCUCACCUAGGCGACGAUCUCCAGCUGGUCUGAGAGGGUGAUCGGCCACACUGGGACUGAGACACGGCCCAGACUCCUACGGGAGGCAGCAGUGGGGAAUAUUGCGCAAUGGGCGAAAGCCUGAUGCAGCAAUGCCGCGUGUGUGAAGAAGGUUUUAGGAUUGUAAAGUACUUUCAGCAGGGAGGCGUUACCCACAGAAGAAGCACCGGCUAACUCCGUGCCAGCAGCCGCGGUAAUAC